rnacentral:rRNA from 1 species
GCCCCCCUACGGGAGGCAGCAGUGAGGAAUAUUGGUCAAUGGGCGGGAGCCUGAACCAGCCAAGCCGCGUGAGGGAAGAAGGUACAGCGUAUCGUAAACCUCUUUUGUCAGGGAACAAAGGCGGGGAAUAGUCCCCGGAUGAGGGUACCUGAAGAAAAAGCAUCGGCUAAAUCCGUGCCAGCAGCCGCGGUAAUACGGAGGAUGCGAGCGUUAUCAGGAUGUAUUGGGUUUAAAGGGUGCGCAGGCGGCCGGUUAAGUGAGCGGUA